GGCAUGUCAUGCUUGCAUGUAAAGGACACAUGUAAUUCAGGGCACGUCCUCGCACUGAGGAAAAAAGGAAGACGAAGUCUUGCGAUUUCCGAAGUGCGAGCAGGAUUGCGGGAAUGCGAAGCAUGCAGCAAUCCGU
rnacentral:sRNA from 1 species